rfam:Candidatus Fischerbacteria bacterium RBG_13_37_8 RBG_13_scaffold_487, whole genome shotgun sequence.
CCCAGGGCUAAAGCCCUGGGCUAAGAUCGCCUGUCCCUUCGGUACA